UAUACACCAAAAUCGUCGACAGUGGGGGCGACACUCGGAGGCGGCGUAACCAAUUCGAUGUCGAGCCAGAUGCCGUCGAUGAGAUUUCGUCCCUCGGGGUCGGAGUUGACAACUUUGCGCAAUCGGAGGAUGGCGCAUCCUGUCUUGAUCAUGGAAACCGGGCGAGGACCGGAAGGGAGCAACCUCACCAUGGACUACCGACGCUCGUGGGGUUGCGGGAUCGAGUAGGCCUUUGGAGCACUCGAUAUCGGGUCUGAGCGUCCACUCCCUGGUGUCUA
rnacentral:SRP_RNA from 1 species